AUCCAGCUGACGAGUCCCAAAUGAAACGAAAUGUGCAUCCUGGAU
rfam:Trichobilharzia regenti genome assembly, scaffold: TRE_scaffold0029137